rnacentral:ncRNA from 1 species
UAGUUUUCGUUGAUAAGGAAAGUAAACUUGGAUACUUCAAAGAGAGGCUCUGUCUGGUGCAAAGAGUCAAGUUUGAAAAGUUGAAAAAUGGCCUUGGAGAAUAAUCUGUCGAUAAGUAGGCAGGUUCGGAAAAUGUCGACCGUUAAAAUGACAACCAAUCUUUCUUAUAGAGAUGUUGGACUGAGGGAAGGAAACUUCCGAAUAAAGGUGGUACCACGAUACGUCGUCCUUUUA